rnacentral:rRNA from 1 species
CGAAUGCUGACAUAAGUAACGAUAAAGCGGGUGAAAAGCCCGCUCGCCGGAAGACCAAGGGUUCCUGUCCAACGUUAAUCGGGGCAGGGUGAGUCGACCCCUAAGGCGAGGCCGAAAGGCGUAGUCGAUGGGAAACAGGUUAAUAUUCCUGUACUUGGUGUUACUGCGAAGGGGGGACGGAGAAGGCUAUGUUGGCCGGGCGACGGUUGUCCCGGUUUAAGCGUGUAGGCUGGUUUUCCAGGCAAAUCCGGAAAAUCAAGGCUGAGGCGUGAUGACGAGGCACUACGGUGCUGAAGCAACAAAUGCCCUGCUUCCAGGAAAAGCCUCUAAGCAUCAGGUAACAUCAAAUCGUACCCCAAACCGACACAGGUGGUCAGGUAGAGAAUACCAAGGCGCUUGAGAGAACUCGGGUGAAGGAACUAGGCAAAAUGGUGCCGUAACUUCGGGAGAAGGCACGCUGAUAUGUAGGUGAAGCGACUUGCUCGUGGAGCUGAAAUCAGUCGAAGAUACCAGCUGGCUGCAACUGUUUAUUAAAAACACAGCACUGUGCAAACACGAAAGUGGACGUAUACGGUGUGACGCCUGCCCGGUGCCGGAAGGUUAAUUGAUGGGGUUAGCGGUAACGCGAAGCUCUUGAUCGAAGCCCCGGUAAACGGCGGCCGUAACUAUAACGGUCCUAAGGUAGCGAAAUUCCUUGUCGGGUAAGUUCCGACCUGCACGAAUGGCGUAAUGAUGGCCAGGCUGUCUCCACCCGAGACUCAGUGAAAUUGAACUCGCUGUGAAGAUGCAGUGUACCCGCGGCAAGACGGAAAGACCCCGUGAACCUUUACUAUAGCUUGACACUGAACAUUGAGCCUUGAUGUGUAGGAUAGGUGGGAGGCUUUGAAGUGUGGACGCCAGUCUGCAUGGAGCCGACCUUGAAAUACCACCCUUUAAUGUUUGAUGUUCUAACGUUGGCCCCUGAUCGGGGUUGCGGACAGUGUCUGGUGGGUAGUUUGACUGGGGCGGUCUCCUCCUAAAGAGUAACGGAGGAGCACGAAGGUUGGCUAAUCCUGGUCGGACAUCAGGAGGUUAGUGCAAUGGCAUAAGCCAGCUUGACUGCGAGCGUGACGGCGCGAGCAGGUGCGAAAGCAGGUCAUAGUGAUCCGGUGGUUCUGAAUGGAAGGGCCAUCGCUCAACGGAUAAAAGGUACUCCGGGGAUAACAGGCUGAUACCGCCCAAGAGUUCAUAUCGACGGCGGUGUUUGGCACCUCGAUGUCGGCUCAUCACAUCCUGGGGCUGAAGUAGGUCCCAAGGGUAUGGCUGUUCGCCAUUUAAAGUGGUACGCGAGCUGGGUUUAGAACGUCGUGAGACAGUUCGGUCCCUAUCUGCCGUGGGCGCUGGAGAACUGAGGGGGGCUGCUCCUAGUACGAGAGGACCGGAGUGGACGCAUCACUGGUGUUCGGGUUGUCAUGCCAAUGGCACUGCCCGGUAGCUAAAUGCGGAAGAGAUAAGUGCUGAAAGCAUCUAAGCACGAAACUUGCCCCGAGAUGAGUUCUCCCUGAGACUUUAAGUCUCCUGAAGGAACGUUGAAGACGACGACGUUGAUAGGCCGGGUGUGUAAGCGCAGCGAUGCGUUGAGCUAACCGGUACUAAUGAACCGUGAGGCUUAACCUUACAAC